rnacentral:rRNA from 1 species
UCGCAUGCUCGAUAGGAGGUCGCGCUGUGCACAUGUACACAUGGAUUCAACUGCCGCGCCACCCUAUUCGGGCCGAGGUAACGUAAUCACUUGUUCUGUCUUUUAGGAGCUGACUUGAUGGAUCGACAAAGGUUCGGCUGACUCGUACUUUCUUUCGUGAAAUUGACCUGACCUCGCCGAGGCGAACCUAGCAUAACAACACAAGAAGACCCUAUGGAGCUUUACUUUAUUAAUGCAAGACAUACCUAGUUUACCCACCCGUCCUAAACUGCAUUACCUGCAUUGAAAAUUGCCGUCGGUCCUCCCUCGGAGCGAACCCGGGCCUCCGAGCAACCCCUGCUAGGACUGCACCCACCUACCUCCACUACCCUCCUCAAUUGAUCCAAUAACUUGUCUAACGGAACAAAUUACCCAACGGAUAACAUCCGGCUCCUAUUAUAGAGUCCAUAUCAUACCCAAGGUUUACGACCUCGAUCCCCUUUUAGGACAUCCCGAUGGAGGGGCCGCACUACCUCGUUCGUUUGUUCAGACAUCCUAGUCCUACCUGAUCUGAUUCGGACCGGUUGUUCAACGAUUAAAGUCCUACGUGAUCUGAUUCAGACCGGA